UUGUAGUACUCUGUUUUCAAAGUGUUUUUCCAAUGCCUCGUGUUUUUGCUAGCUCUGUUCCAUGUCUCUAAAAGAGCUAUGUUAUUUCGUGCUGUGAGACGAUAUUCAAGGGUCUCUGUGUUUUUGUUAGUAACGGAGACAGAUGGGAUGGUGUCAAGUUUCAUUUUAUUAUAACACCCUCUGCCUCUCUCCCUUUAAUGCAAACUGACAAUCACAUACCUCUCUCAAAGACAACGGACGACACAACAGGCUCUCAGCCUUUGCAGUAAAAGCUGAGUCUCCAUCUCAAUUCCUGAGCGCCAGAUCGAUUACCUCAGCGCUAUGGAAACCGUUACGAAGGAUCUCAUCCCUCAUUACAAAGCACAGACCUGAGAGCCAAGCCUCUCAAGAGGCGAAGCGGAGUAACGACCUUCAUAAAGGAGGGAAACCAAAAGCUGAGUGAUUGACCAGGGCCUGGAAGGUUGAUGCAUUCAUCAAGAUGACAGCCGCUAGGUGUCUGGCUGAAAGGAAGACAGGACAUCAUCGAACGAUAUCCAGCCGAUAGAUAUGACGAACUCCGAGGCAGAGAGGUUGCCAUGGCGUCAGCACCGACAACAGGCACAAACAGUGGCAGCAUGUAAUGUGCUGAACAUCCCAGGGCAGCACAGCUGGGCACUCCACCGACUGCUAGUGAGUGAAUCCAGGUGGAGACACUACAUUUAGGUUUUUCGCUUCUCAUGAUUGUUGCUCGUCAGUUUGUACGAUGUGAUCCCACCGAGAUCUUGGGUAAAAACUUGGAUACUUAUCGAUCCAAGAUGGCUGGUUUUGCCGUAUGACAAAAAGAAAUCUUUUACAAUCACCUAAAAUGGUGGCAAAGAUUGCACUGUGUACCUUUAGACAAAAAAGUUUUUUGUUAAUCAGAGAUCAGUAACAGUUACCACUGAGAUCCAGGCCCUCCUGAGAGAGGAAUGUCUAUUUUCCAGGCAGGUUAGGCCGGUGGUGGGUGUAUAGUGAAUCAGAGACAUAUGGGUGGCGGUAGAGAAUCGGUGAAUUAUAGCUUCUUUCAAAGCCCUGUUUGUUUUCCUAUGGAGCAGGAUGAGGCAUUACCUCAUCCUUGUGUUUUAGCUGCACACGGGUCACUGCCGCUCUGUAUGUGUGUGUGUGUGUGUGUAGCGCUGGUAUGAGCACACGUGUGCUGUUAGGGCAUUCCAAUGGCUUUCAGCAUAUUUCAGAUUAUCUCUACAAAGAUGUAAUGGCCCAAUGGGAAUGGGGUUUGGGAAGCUUGCUAAUAAGCUAACUGAUGAAUGGAAUGUUAAAUUGAGUCCACUGACAUGUUGAAUAUUGGCUAAAGCCUGCUGACCGCUUCCAUCUUCUGUGGUAUGUAAUAUCAGUCCAUAACUCAGUCCAUGCUAAAUCUGGGAUUUCUACAGUUCCGUGAAGUUUAUCAGUAUGGAAUUUUUUAAUAAAUGUUUUAAUUCCAGGUUUUGACAUAUUUCCUGCUGAAACCAGAAGAUGGGGUAGGAAAUAGAGAAAGGCUUGUCCUUAGUUUACAUCACAGACAAGGUGUUGGAGCACAUUCUACCAAACUUCUGAUCUAAAAGUAUUUUGUGUUAUAUUUUGUUCUAGGUAUUCAAAUGGCUUUUCUUGUUAGCCUUUUGUAGCAAUAUUAGUCUGUUGUAAUAUCUUACGCAAGGUAAGAAUAUUGGGCAGGCUAUAAUGGGUUGACCAUGUAUGUAUACAUAGAUGCCACAUUCGACCGCUUCAGAUGUGUCGUCACUCACAGUAAGAAUCAAUGAUGCCACAACAUUGUAAAAACCACCGAGAUUUAAAUUCCCGAAGAAAUGGGAUGACCUUUCACAGGUGAGAAUGUGUUGGUUUGUGUUUUUAUAUGUAUUAACUCAAUAUUACAGGGUUUUAAACUAUGGUACAUUUUUAGUGUCGUGUUAGCUGAUGCCUUCGUCUUGUAUUGUGUUAGUUUAGCAAAAUCAUCUGCUAAAGUCUACUGUAGGUAUAGAUAUCAUAUCAUACAUGCGUACAACUACGUUGCAGAUGCACAGUCAACUUGCUCUCGAAUGUUCACGGACCGGCUUUGACCAUUCCAAUAUGGCGGAUGGUUUACAUAUAGCGGCCCGUAGAAACAUCCGCUAAUGAAGCAUCUUAUUUAUAAAUAUCUAUGGGGUUAACUGGCCAAACGGUUAGCAUAUGCUAAGCUACUGGGUUGCUGACUGUAAGCUAACUGAAAACACAAUGAAAGAGAAAUGGUUACCAUUCAGGCACGGAAUACCCCAAAUAGGUAAGAGAGUGUAAAUUUUAAAUGUUUUAAAAAGUUUAAUGUGUGAUUUUUUUUUUUUUUUUUUUUUUUUUUUUUUUUAAGGAGUAGGCUACACAUGCAUAUAGAACGCUAAGCUAAUAUAGUUCAUAGUUAACUUGGACUCAAAUAAAAGUACAAAAAAAUUAUAUUUAGAUAUUACAUAUAAAAUUAUAUUAUUAUCCUGUAUAUGUUAAAUGUUUUUGUGAAUUUUUUUUUUUUUUUUUUUUUUUUUUUAGGAGUAAAGUUACAAGUAGAUGCUAAUCUAAUAUAAACCAUAGCUAAAAGACUAAAAUAAACAUUACAAAAUAAAAUAUUACAUUUAAAGUUAUAUUAUAUUUAAAUAUUAUAUAAGAACAUUGUUAUCUUGAAAAAUGUACUCAUUGUGCGUCUUUACCCUGGGUUCCAAACGUUAGAUUAGCACUGCUGUUGCUCUAGCCUUUAGGACUGCAGUGUCCUGGGACAUCAGAGAGGCCCUUCUCUCUGGCUGUGUUUUAGUUGUAGUCGAAGCCAGGCACAUCUGGACUCGAUUAGGCCCGUAAUGUCACAUGGACCAUCAGAUCACUGUCUCUACCUCAUUCGGCUCUGAGCUCCACCAUCUCCAGCAUCCCCACCUCCAACAUUUAAACAGUUAUUAGUGUUAAUCACACAUAAUCACUGACAUGUUUUACUCUGUGACAUCAUGCCUUAGGUUGAGUCUUCAAAACGUUAUGGCUGGAGAAAAACAGAACAUGAAAUAGUCAGUGUGACUCCUUCUAACUUCUGUUUCACAAGUUAAAUGCACAGUUUAGGGAAGCAAUGAAAAGAUUUCCCAUACACUGUCCUGUUAUAGUGUGAAUUUGUCAGGUUGAUGUUUUUCUCUACAUAGUUAGUAGGCAUUUUUAUCAAAAAAAAACAAAAAAGUGAUUGGACCAAAUGCCUCACCCAAUCACAUCUUCACUUACUCUUUUUGCUUGCAUAGACGUAUAUUACAUUAAUCAGGGCAUAAAUGCAUAGUAUAUUUAGCUCUGAGACUGCGAUUUUUUUUGAUCUGGUGCUCAUAUAAAUUCUGCAUUAUAUGAAAGUAAAAAACAAAAAUCUAUAAUCUUGCUCACAUAGAAUCAAGUGUGCAGGAGGAGGUUGUUUCAGGCCUCAGGGUCUCUCCAGCAUGUAUUGACUUAGCUGUGUACACAUAACACUCUCAAUGGUCCCGGCCUGCCAAACCUCAUUUUGUCACUAUCUCUCAGCCCCCGCUGAGAGUGAUGUUUUCCAACAGGAAAAAAAAACUCAAUUAGCAGGCUGAGUCUCCCGGACAGCCACAGGAGUCACCUGAUCAUUAAGAACUGACAUUAAUUAAAGCAGAUUUGUCUUCCUAAAUUAAGCUGGAAUUUUGGUCUCACCUCAGCUUUGUGAGCUGAAAUUUAAAGGUCAGAGGUCAGCUCUGUGGUCGGAAAAAGGUUUUCAGACUUCCAGCUUCUUGGUGUCACUCUCUCGCUCUCUCCCUCAUUUUCUUUCUCUUUUUACUACCUUUCCGGUGUAAAAGGAAUUCACAUCUGCCCAUGUAGCUGUUAUGUUACGCUCUAAACAUGCGUACAGUCUAGACUGCUGUGGUUGCGCCUGUUCAAGAAAGACUUAUAAAAACACGUUUGGAGAGUUCUGGUUUAUAUUUUAGUCAAUUCUGUAUGUGCUGGUUUCGCAAGUUCAUCACAAACACAUUUUUUUUUCUGUUUGUGCUGCUUAGAGGAUGCUUGGGUAGCUCAGAGAUUUUGGGUGGUUGCCAGGGUGUUGCUAAGGGGUGCUGGGAAUUUUCAUUGUUUGUUCCACUCCAUUUGUCUUUGUUUGCCUGUUCCUGUCAGUUUGUGCAUUAGUGGUGGGGAUUUUUCAGCAACUCUUUCUGCAAGUUACAAACAUACGACAGUAGGUGGCAACAAGUGACUGUCUUUAUGAGUGAGUCAUUAAAUCGAGUCGUUCAAAAACUCUGAUUCAUUCAGCAAUGAAUCAAGUGACAAAUGUUAUGAGGGAGUCAUUGAAUCAUUCACUCAGGCUGUUUAAGUCCACUUUUUUAAUGCCCUUCCCUAGCUAACUUCCAUCUUGUUCACUCGGAUAUACGUCAUUGCUUACUUUGCAUGAGUGCCCACUACUGGUGGAACCCUAGAAUCUUCCUGAACUGUUCAUAUGAGUAGACUCGCUCCCUUGGUCAAAAUCGAGGGGUCGAAGGUCUGUCCAAAUAAGCUACUCUCGUCCAUUUACCAAAGUUGAAUGCACUUCAAAAUGGUGGCAGGUAUUCCCCUAAGGGGAAGUGCUAAGAGAAGUUCACGAGUGUAUGUCUAAAAGUUAAAAGUUAAACACAAAUUUCUUUAAAAAAAAAUACAGAUUAAUUCACAAAUGUCUUUAUGACGCUGUAAAACUCAAGUUCAGAAUACUCAAAACAUUUAAGUACACUAAUUUUUUUAAGUUAGUAGAGCUUAAAAUUUUUGUGACAAGUGGGGCGGGGCCAAGAGCCAUGGAAGCGGAGCAAGGCCAGCGUGGUGCACAGGUGACUCUCAUUAACAAUCACGUCACCGGCAUUCCUUCGCUCCCACAGUUCUCAGCCUCACCCAACUCAUCAUAAUGUCAAUUAUAUACAGUUAAUUUACAUAAACAUCACAUUCAGAUCUUGGUUAAAUGUUGGAUAGCAAAUAACAUGCUAUUAUAACUAUCAAAGAGACUGUCAUUAUAUACUUGCAUGUAUAUAAUCAAAUUACAUACAGUAUAUGUGGUCUUAAAAGUUUUGCAACCACAGGCUCUACUCUUCACCACAAUAGUAACCCUACAAAACUAACAUAACGGAACGCGCUGUAAAUCCCAACAUAACACAACAUUAAACACUAACUUGUCUCCCUAUGUUAAUCUUAUGCAAAAACACACAAAAUAACACUUAAUUUCAGCAUUUAUUUAUACAGUCUGACACAAAGCAUGCUGGGAAUUAGAAAUCUGCUGCAACUCAACUCAAUCAUAUUAAGUUCAGCUUACUACAAUGAAAUUUUGAGUUCACACAACUUUUUUCUAUUAAGUACAAUGAACUUUCAUUAUUAUUUGAGUGAAACAAACUCAUUUAAUUUAAUUAAUUUCACUGUUCAGUUUUACAGUGCAUUUGAAGGUCGAAUCAAACACAGAUUCAUUCAUGUAUGCACAAAUCAUUUAAUCAUUCACUCAAACGAUUCCUUCAAAAUCACUGAUUAAUUCGCCACUAUGCCUUUUGCUAGGAUAUGCGCAACUGUGGUGACUUUGUUUUCACUGGCAGAGCAAAUAUAGACUAAUAACUAGCAAUAUUGUGUCUAAGAUGUACAUUUCUAAAUGUUAACUUAUUUUUUGAACUGUGGUGUAAAAGCAAUAUUACACUCAGUCACAAUCAUCCUACAUUCAGAACAACAACACUCUCGCUUGUGUGAUAUUGCUUUAAUGUACUCUAUAAUAAGUAAUAUGAAUAGCAUUUCUCGCAUAAUUAGGUCUUGGAUGAUUUCAAUGAGAAAUGUCUUACGAGAUAAAUCUGAGAAAUAAAACACAUUUUCUCUCUGUCUAACCAAUUCCAGAAAAACUGAGAUUUUAAAUAGACCCCAUUUUUCAUUUUUCUUUCCUGCAGGGUCACCUGUACGUUCUCAAACAGACAGACACAACACCACAGAGAAUUCACCAUGCAUGACUGAUGAAUUAAAACACUCAAGCGCAUGUCACCUUCUGCCACUUCCGUCAGCAUAACCGCCUGUCUGCAGCAGACCGCAAGCACUCUCUACAGGGCAAUAAAAACACAAGUGGAAUAAACUGAUUUUAAAAGGCCAGUUGUCUGGUGAAAGUAUGGAUGUGUGAAGUGAAGGAAGGAGAAGGGAGGGAGGGGAAGAGGAGGCUGUGUGUGUUACAUACCAGAGCGGUGAGAUCGAGCAUGUAGAGAGGACAAGGAUAAUUUAGAAACACAUACCACUCUGCUCAGCAAACACACGCAGUGUACUCGCUCCUGUAUUGUAGAACAUUACAAUGUUUGAGCUGCUGGGUCGCUGUGCGGGGUUUUAAAGCUGAGUGUGCACAUUCAUAUGUGGAGACACAUACUGUAUAUCCUGCUGAAAAAUCCAUCUUAAGCUGUUGACUGUGUUUUGGAAAAUGGUAGUAGUUGGUUUAUAGCUAGUCUAAGCUGGUCAUUAGCUGGUGCAAGGUGGUAGCCAGCAACCAGAAGGUCGUACACAGGGCUUUUAUAGCUUUGAAUGUAGGGUACGUUUACAUGGCAAUAAUGUACUAAAAACGGAAAAGUUUUUCUUUGUAUUUUUCCACAUACAGACGACAACGUUGUCAAAAUGAUCCCGUUCAAACCAAUCCGCGAAAACGACUAAAAGGAUUAUAUAAUGCAUGCCCGGCCAGUAGUUGGCGGUGUUACUUUGUAAAGAAACACUACGCACCAAUACACUGAACACGUAAUAAGCAUGCGCAUGAUGUCACCAUCUUUACACGGAGAUUCAAAAAUGUUCACUUUGAAACCCGUUUUCAAAAGUUUGCAUUUUCAGGCCUGCAAAACGCUGUUAAAAUGAAAGGGACACUUUAAAAACACAUCAGAUCUCAAUGGGGAAAAAUAUCAUGCUGGAUAUCUAUACUGAUAUGGACUGGGUAAUGUGUUAGGAACGAAAGGAUGCCACAUCGUUUGAUGAAAAUGAAAAUGAUCAACCUACAGAGGACUGAAUUCAAAGACACCCUGAAAAUCAAAGUGAAAAAAUGAUGCAGCAGGCUAGUCCAUUUUGCUGAAAUUUCAUUGCAGCAAUUCAAAAUGGUACUCAGUAGUUUGUAUGACCCCCACGUGCUUGUAUGCAUGCCUGACAACGUCAGGGCAUGCUCCUAAUGACACGACGGAUGGUGUCCUGGGGUUUUUCCUCCCAGAUCUGGACCAGGGCAUCACUGAGCUCCUGGACAGUCUAAGGUGCAACCUGGCUGCGUCAGAUGGACAGAAACAUAAUGUCCCAGAGGUGCUCUAUUGGAUUUACGUCAGGCGAGCAUCUGGGCCAUUUAAUGGUAUCAAUUCCUUCAUCCUCCAGGAACUGCCUGCCUUUAUUAGCAUGACUGUGAAUCACAAUGUUGCCAAAGCAACUGACUCUUUCACGUCCUCAUGAAGUCUGUUUCUGAUUGUUUGGUCAGAGACAUUCACACCAGUGGCCUGCUGGAGGUCAUUUUGCAGGGCUCUGGCAGUGCUCAUCCUGUUCCUCCUUGCACAAAGUAGCAGAUACCGGUCCUGCUGAUGGGUUAAAGACCUUCUACGGCCCUGUCCAGCUCUCCUAGAGUAAUUGCCUGUAUCCUGGAAUCUCCUCCAUGCUCUUUAGACUGUGCUGGGAGACACAACAAACCUUCUGGCAAUGGCACGUAUUGAUGUGCCAUCCUAGAGGAUUUGGACUGCCUGUGCAACAUCUAUUUAGUUUAUUUAGUUAGUUUGUUUAUAUUUUAGUUUUAUUAUUUUUGUGCUGUCAAAGUUAAUAUGUUAAUUUAUACAAUCUUCAAGUUUAUUGAAGUCUGUUCUGUAAAAUAUGAAACCUUUUUUAAUAUAUUCUGUAUCUAAAUGUAAAAUGUAAUUUGUUGCCAUUUUUAUUUUAUUUUAGUUAGAUUCAGAGUCAUGAAAAUCUAUUUGGUUUAUUUUCAGUUUUUCUAAUUAUAUUAGAUAUUAGAUAUUUAUUUUUAUUUCAUUUAACAAAGAUGUUUCACUUACCACUUACCAGCUAAUCAGACUAGCCAGUAAUGACCAUCCUGGACCAAUUAAAAACCAGUUACCAUGUUCAAAAACAUAACUACCAGCUUAAUAUGGACUUCCGGCUUCCACAAUGCACACACUAUAACCUUUGUCUUGUACAUGUUGCUGUUUCACUGCUACUUUCACACCUGAAAACAUCUUAAGGAGUAAGUGAGAUUUUUCCAGCUUGUCAAGUAUAUUUAUGUCAAGAGGUUAUUUUACUGUAAAUACUACUAUUUUGGCUGUCUGUUAAGACUGUCUGUGGCAUUGGAUGACGUUAGAAAGCUGUAGCCCAGAACAGAUGUUCAAACACUUUAUUCUGAGAAAAGCACCAUAUUUUCACUCAAUAACAUCUUUAUAACCAGCCUGGUCCCUUCUCUGAUCUGUCCCUGUGCAAAGAUGGACCACUUUGUCCCAAUUUUUAGCUCUGAAUUGACCUUCUAAUAUAAACAAGUUUACAUUUAUCCUUAUAAUUAAUACGUUUCUUAUCAUUCUCAAACUUGAAACAUGGCUCAAGCAUUUUUAUUUUGAAAAUAAUUUGUUCAUAUUGAUCUCUUGUUUCUCUCUGCAUUGGUUCAUUCAGGAAGGAGCUGUUUCACUCAUACGUAUGGUGAUUUACACCUCUUAAUUUUGUUGGUGUUACAGCUGCAGCUGAAAAGAAGCUUUGGACCGCUCAGAUUUUCAGAUUGUUUAAUCUUUUAAGCAAGGCUUUGUUGAGUCAACAUAAAUUCUGUAGUCAAAGCUUUUCUCAGUUUCCCUUCAUUAUUCACAAUCCUGUAAGCGCUGAGCAGUGAAGCAGAUGGCAUUUUAUGCUCACUAUUUUUCUUCUGAUUGUUUCAACAGCUGAACUUGGAGCCCCUUGUGUUACCGGUGGCUGAGAGGAAAGGUAGAGUUACACUGCAGUCUGUGAGGUUUCUCACACCCAACCCUGGAAUAUAUGUGCUGAUAAAUCAACAUUGAAUAUUCAUUCUGGAAUCUUGAAAGCUUCUGAUUUAUACUGUGGAAUCUAAAAUUGAUGCCUUUUAAUUUUAAGUUCAUUUUAAAUUAUCAGAAUAACAAUUUGACUGAAAAGUGAAUGUAACAAUUAACAUGAAAUUCAAGAAAUAGGAAAAUCUAACCUUGUGUACAGAUGGGUUCACACGAUCAUUGUCACAAAUGUAUACUUAUUUGAAUAGAGAGAAAUAGUGCAGCAGCUUUCUUUCUUUAUUUUCUUUCUUUCUUUCUUUC